ACAUGGGUCGGCAAAAAUAUCUCCCUCGUCACCCCCUUUCUCUCCCUCGUCUCUUCCCAUCCCGCUCCCCUUGUCUAUGCCGCCGCCGCUGCUUCCCCUCUCCCUCUCCCCGCCUCCACCACCACCUCCUCUCCUGCCUCCUCCCCAACCAGCACAGCUAGAGGAGGUGACAGAUUGGGAGGCGGGCAAAAGGAACCAGGCGGUUCUCCUUCCAUGGUUGGGCCUCGACCUGCCACAUCUUCCUCCUCCCAGUCCGGCGAAGAGGAGUGGCGGAUCCGCUUCCUCAAGCGAGCAGGGGCGCACGGGGAUUCGGAUCUCCUUGCGAGAGGCCGCCACCACAGAAGUAGGUCCGCGGUGCCGUCACUCUGCUCAAGCUACUGAUUCAUCCCGUGCGGCGGCAGAAGGAGGUCCUGCAGCCUGCUUCCGUACUACUCCUUGCCGUGUGGGUCGAAAUCUCCAGCGGUGCUGUCGUCUGGGUGAGCCCCCCGUCACGGCUGAGACCAGCUCGCCGCCGUCGGCCAUGCCACUCUCGCCGGCGCACGGAGCACCUCCCCUCCAAGCACAGGAUGUUGCAGGUCAUUACAACACCGAUUAUGGAUAUGGAUUCAUCCAGCUGCGCUGGAUGAAGGGAUGGUUGGAAUAAGAAUUGCAUGUGACAAACAAGUGCUUCCUCUAGGUUCCACUUCAACAAAAUAUCAAACAAGAACCCUAGCAAUUUAGACCUUGGAGGCUGCUUGUGAAAAUGAAGUGCUUCAGAUGGGAUUCCAAACGUCAGGUGGUUUGGUGUAGAGAGGGUGAUUACAAUGUUUUGGUGAUGGACCCACUGAGGCCAAGCCUUGAGCAUCUUUUCGUUUAGUUUUAUCUUUGUUUGCUGAGAUAAGCGAGAUCGUACUCAUUCCAAUUCCGGAUAAUUUGUCUGCAUAGCCUUCGAAUGGCACAUACUGACCUCAGACUGGAGAAUGUUCAUGUAAGACCAGUAGACAAACGUUGUCAAAGAAAGAUUUCUGAUUCUCAGAUAAUUAUACUAUUGAGAUGUUCACAAAGGGCGUCCCUAAUGCAAGGAUGCACUUGAAUACUCUUCAGGAGAGCAGGAAAAAUUUGCAUAUUACCUAAAUAGAGUUUCCAUAUUAUUUAUUUAUUUGUUUUGCUUUUGUGCAGCAAUUAGAUUUUCCGACACUAAUAUUGUUGUUUGUUGCAGACAUGGUUGUCACACAUGCGUCCUGUCCCAAUGGCUCAAAUUGUUGGUCCUCGCAUGGCAAUGUCCCUGCUUGUAUUCAUGGAGUUGGUCAGCAACUCUCUUAUGGCCAGCAACCUCCAAUGUUUAUUAACCCUCUACAGGGAGAGCGAUUAUGAUGCCACUGCCUGCUGCUUUAAUAUCCAAGGAUGAUCUUUAUGUUAUUUAUGAGACACCUUCUCUACGGUUAGAAGAUCAUGGUAUAUAGAAGUUAAGUGAACUUGGUCUGAUGAUUGUGUAUUUUCUGUUGUUUUAUCCCUUAAAUAUGGAUUUGUCUAGCUUUCUCUUGUGAUUUACUUAUUAUUAGAAGUGCUUUUCAUUGCCUUGGUAUUUUGUUGUUUUUCAUUGUGUUAGGGACACAAAAGUUUAUCACUAUGCCUAAAUAUCACAGAAGACCUGGAAAUAAUUCAAUAUUCCAAAAUACUUCAGUCAGACCAGAAUACUUCAAAAAUGGCAGUUGCAUUUGUUGGUCUGAUGUACAUGAGAAGCCCCCAUUUUGUUGGCAAUAGAUGCAUGGUUUCUCAAAAAAUAAAAAUAACUUCAUGUUGUAUAUGAUGUAUGGUAGUCAUGUGUCUCAUGUUCUUCGUGUAUCGGAUUCCAAGUUUUAGGAUGGCUGAUAAGGUUCCCAUGUUUGAUAUUUUUUUACUUACGCAAAAUUGGUCGAUGCUGAUGAGAAUGGCACCGUCUUCCACACUUAUAUUUUUAAUAUACAAUGUUCCCAAUUUUAUUGUUUUACUUUUUUGGUUCAAUAAGAUUAAGAUAUACACUUUAUCUUGUGCUGAAUCUGAUGUCGUUCAGAUUGUAGGAAUUUUAGGAUGGGUCACAAGUUUCUCUUGUUGGAUGUUUUCUUUCUCUAGGCAAUGCAUGACAUAGAUAUGUACUCAGCUGGACAUGUUGUUGCCGAGUUUGUGUUGAUUUGGCGAGAACCAUCAAUAUUAGUUGACAAAAACCAUCAUGUUAUUAUGCCUCCAUGUUAUAUUUAGAGGCGCAACCAGAUGUGAGAUUCCUACUUAGCUAGAUAAGAUACAACGUUGAUGGUCUUGUCUGAUGUUGUAAACACAAAAUAUGUACAGACGAGCCUUCCAAAAUACGGGUCAUCUUGUCUGAUGGUCUCCUCUCCUGCCGUCGCCGCCGCCGGAGAAGCUCGCCUCCGCGCCCACAAGCCUCGGAUUCGGCGGGAUCCAGGACGAGGAGGGGUGGAUGAGACGGGGGAGGAGGAGGAGGAGAGCGUGGGGGCGUCUGGGGAGGAAUAUCCCCGCCGCCUCCUCCGCUCGUGACGCAGGGCCUCGGGCCAUGGGGGCGUUCGUUGCAGGAGCCUCGCCGCUGACCUCCCGUGCGCGGCACCCGGCCCUGGCAGCGCCAAUCUCCCCUUCACACACAGAUCGGGUCGUAGUCGGAGCACAACUAAGGUUGGCGCUGCUCAAGUGUUUGCAGCGGGAUCCUCUUCUACAACGGCGAUGACAAGGACUCCGCUCCCAGUUCAGUCUAUCAACUACACACACAACUCCUGGACCUGCCUUCAGAUUUAAGGCAAGCGCUUCAGUACUUCCUUGUGUUGCAUAGUCACUAGACUGGGUUUUCUUUGAUUCUAUGAUUGGUUUGUUUUCAUCGCAAUGUAUGUGUCCACACAAUCAAAAGGAUCAAGAUAGCUUCACAUAGAUUAGUUAAUUGGCCAGGUACAUACGAAGCUGUGAAUCUAAACAGGACGCACCUACAUCACCACACCAAUAUGUUGUGUGUAACACGACCAUUCCUAACAUACCAUGGUUUGCAUGCUGGAUAACCGAUGUGUGUUAAGAUGAGCAGCAGCACGCUCACACAUUAUCUUUGCCGUUUAAAUAACCAUAUUUGUUCUAUGAAGUUUCUGUUAUAUAUCUCUAUGUCCAUGUACUUCUCAAAAGUUACCUUGGAUGAGAAGCAUUGUUUUGCUGGUCUUUGUGAAGACAAGAUAGGAAGAUCCAUGUUCUUGAUCAAUCAAAUAUGGUCAAAACUGUAGUUUUUUCACCAGUGUAAUCUUAUUAAUAACUUCGACCAAAAGUCCUACAAUCUCAUUAGUAAUCAGGUGUGGACAAAUAUGUUUUUAGUCCAGUUUGAUCUAAUAUAUCCUAUUGAAGCGUACUUUGACCAAACGUCCUACAAUCUCAUUAGUAAUUAAUCAGGUGUGGACAAAUAUGUUUUUAAUCCAGUUUGAUAUGAUAUUUUCAAUUGAAGCAACAAAACCAUCGUAUUUGGCUUUCCGUAAGCACCAAGUUAGCAAUAAUAGAGUUGAUUAGUAGCUGAUACAGUGCUAUGAAUUUUUAUUAUAGUCGUCGUUGGUAUCAAACUAUCAAAUCAGUUUAUACAGUAGAAACUUGGACAGUGCUAAGAUGGAUUAGCACGUACAAUUGUAAACUACAGAAAAAAGAUUAUUUGUCCAUUAGUCGAUACCGAAUUUGAUCAUAUAUAUUGUUCUAUUGAGCUUAUUAUUGUAAAGUCACCAACAAGUUGAAUCAGCUAUAAGCCUCUCAGAAGGGUAUAGCCGCCUCUGCUUCCGCAUUACAUCUCCAUGUAAGUUUCUAAUGUACAUUCACAUAUAAUUUUGGUUGACAUUAUCUCUUCUGUGAAUUCUGCUUGCAUUUUUUCAGUUGAAACAGUAACCGAAUUUGAUAAGUAUGCAACGAUUUCUACCCUGCAGCAUGAGUAAAAUGUUAUGAGUUAUCACUUCAGAUAAGUAACCACUAUAUUAUUUUCUCUGUGUAAUUGACCUGUACACAUGUUGUCGCUCUGCUUGAACCAUCGAUCUCUUUAUGUAUUUGAGCUCCUCUCACAGGCUGACUUACCCGAAUGGCUACUUUUAUUGCCUUUCGACAUGCGCAAGUAUUUGAGUAGCAUGUGACUAAUCUUACAGCCCCCCUCCCCUGAUGUUUGGGAUGAAUGUUGUAAAAUGUUUCACAAAUAGAUGAUGGAUUGAUGCAAUGUCUUACCCAAUACAAAAGAAAAUCACCCCGAUAGUCUGAAUGUCAAGCAUUUUAUGUUUCUGUUUAUGUUUACAGAACGUGGGAAGGGGGCAUGGCGCGCUAUUUCACCUUCAGGAGAGAAUUGCAGUGUCUUAUUUUGUUCAUUUUUCUUGCACGAGUUGUGCUGUCAAGAGAUUUAGAAUACCACUGUUAAUAGGCUCUCUGCUCUAUAUUCUGAAAUAAUAGUCAUGUGUCAUGUAUCAUCCUUGGGUGAUGUUUAGGUCUAGAUGUGGGUCGUUUUGUCCAUAAAAAACCGUGAAGUUGUAUGUGCAUUUCCUUCUAUGCAUCUCUUCAGAUAUUUGAUUGAUGCAAAUAUGUACUUUGAAUUCUUAUUGGAUGUCUCUCAAUAUUGCUAAGAGUAUCCAAUACCCUAUGAACCAACCUUCAACGUAAUAUAUAACACUAUGUAGGAACAUCAUACCUGUAUCUAUUUCCCUAUGCUACAAGGAGUUAUUGAUCAAUCUCUAAAUAUUCUUAUUCUCAUGGUUUGGAAGCUUGGUUUGCUCUCGUCCUUUGCGCUACCAAGGGUGUUGACAAAAGGGCCACCAUCACUAGAGGCUAGAGCGAUUUCUUCCAUCAGGCGCACAUGGAGGAAGGUCAAGCAUAUGCUUUCAUCUUCAAAUGCACUUCCAAGGGAACCCAAGAACCGACUAUGUGACAGUACACUGGGGCUCAAGUGACAAUGAGAAGUGCAGUAUGAUGGUGAUCUCUGGCGGUGAUCGUUCAACAGACGCAAAAAACCCAGGCCCUGGCCAACCAAAGCCCGACGCAAAAAACCCAGGCCCGGCUCUCGGGCCGGGCCAACCAAAGCCCGACGCAAAAAACCCAAGCCCGACCCAGCCCGCCUGUCGGGCCUAAAAAUCGGGCCUGAGCCCGGCCCAUCACGCUAAAAGCCCGUCGGGCGUCGGGCCACGGGCUGGGCCUCUUCCUUAAACGUGGAAAACAACGGGCCCGUGACCGGCCGGGCCAGUGCUUCGGGCUCAAAACCUAGGCCCGAGCCCGGCCCGUGGACAAGGCCGGGCCGGGUCGGGCCGUCAGGGCCGGGCUGCCCAUGGCCAGGACUACUCACUACCAUCAUCGCUUCUAAUUCGCUUCUUGCGCCAUUGGCGCAACCAGGUCAUCUAGUGAGACGAACCAUCCAGGGGCGUCCCACGUGAGAAUCCACGAGGAGCGAGGCGAGCAUCACCGAGGAGAGGAAGAAUUGAAGAUAAGAUGGGGAAACCAGAGAGGAAAAGGAAGAUUCUUCUACCAACCUGUCGCCACAGAUAAAGCUUACCACCCACUGUUAGUGUCGCUAAGCGUCUGACCUUUGUGCCAUGUACCAGCGUCAGAGCUUCUACGCAACACAUGGAAUACGUUGCGACGUUGCCAAAAGUCACACGCAACAGAAUUCAUAUACAUGCAUGCACGUAACAU